AGCGUGGGGAGCAACAGGAUUAGAUACCCUGGUAGUCCACGCCGUAAACGAUGAGUGCUAGAUAUCGGAAGAUUCUCUUUCGGUUUCGCAGCUAACGCAUUAAGCACUCCGCCUGGGGAGUACGGUCGCAAGAUUAAAACUCAAAGGAAUUGACGGGGGCUCGCACAAGCGGUGGAGCAUGCGGUUUAAUUCGAUGUUACGCGAAAAACCUUACCAACCCUUGACAUGGUGGUCGCGGAUCGCAGAGAUGCUUUUCUUCAGCUCGGCUGGACCACACACAGGUGUUGCAUGGCUGUCGUCAGCUCGUGUCGUGAGAUGUUGGGUUAAGUCCCGCAACGAGCGCAACCCUCAUUCUUAUUUGCCAGCGGG
rnacentral:rRNA from 1 species